rnacentral:snRNA from 1 species
AUACUUACCUGGCAGGGGAGAUACCGUGAUCACGAAGAUGGUUUUCCCAGGGCGAGGCUUAUCCAUUGCACUCUGGAUAUGCUGACCCCUGCAAUUUCCCCAAAUGUGGGAAACUCGAAUGCAUUAUUUGUGGUAGUGGGGGACUGCGUUCGCGCUUUCCCCUU